AUCCUGCAGUGCUUGCUUUCUUGCUUUAGGA
rnacentral:piRNA from 2 species